rnacentral:rRNA from 1 species
UACGAAGGGGGCUAGCGUUGUUCGGAAUUACUGGGCGUAAAGCGCACGUAGGCGGACUACUAAGUCAGGGGUGAAAUCCCGGGGCUCAACCCCGGAACUGCCUUUGAUACUGAUAGUCUCGAGUCCGGAAGAGGUCAGUGGAAUUCCGAGUGUAGAGGUGAAAUUCGUAGAUAUUCGGAAGAACACCAGUGGCGAAGGCGACUGACUGGACAGAUAUUGACGCUGAGGUGCGAAAGCGUGGGGAGCAAACAGG